rnacentral:rRNA from 1 species
CAAGACGGAAAGACCCCGUGAACCUUUACUAUAGCUUGACACUGAACAUUGAGCCUUGAUGUGUAGGAUAGGUGGGAGGCUUUGAAGUGUGGACGCCAGUCUGCAUGGAGCCGACCUUGAAAUACCACCCUUUAAUGUUUGAUGUUCUAACGUGGACCCGUAAUCCGGGUUGCGGACAGUGUCUGGUGGGUAGUUUGACUGGGGCGGUCUCCUCCUAAAGAGUAACGGAGGAGCACGAAGGUUGGCUAAUCCUGGUCGGACAUCAGGAGGUUAGUGCAAUGGCAUAAGCCAGCUUGACUGCGAGCGUGACGGCGCGAGCAGGUGCGAAAGCAGGUCAUAGUGAUCCGGUGGUUCUGAAUGGAAGGGCCAUCGCUCAACGGAUAAAAGGUACUCCGGGGAUAACAGGCUGAUACCGCCCAAGAGUUCAUAUCGACGGCGGUGUUUGGCACCUCGAUGUCGGCUCAUCACAUCCUGGGGCUGAAGUAGGUCCCAAGGGUAUGGCUGUUCGCCAUUUAAAGUGGUACGCGAGCUGGGUUUAGAACGUCGUGAGACAGUUCGGUCCCUAUCUGCCGUGGGCGCUGGAGAACUGAGGGGGGCUGCUCCUAGUACGAGAGGACCGGAGUGGACGCAUCACUGGUGUUCGGGUUGUCAUGCCAAUGGCACUGCCCGGUAGCUAAAUGCGGAAGAGAUAAGUGCUGAAAGCAUCUAAGCACGAAACUUGCCCCGA